rnacentral:tRNA from 1 species
GCCCCGUUAGCUCAAUUGGUCAGAGCAUCUGACUCUUAAUCAGAGGGUUCUAGGUUCGAGUCCUAGACGGGGCA